rnacentral:misc_RNA from 1 species
ACGCAGCCCGGCCUGAGUGGAGCUCUUUUUCUUUUUUACCGAAAAAGAAAAAAGCGGGAACGGAGGACGGAUUAAGC